UAUGGCAGAUUAGUGCAAUGGACUUAAACCCCAUUUAUAAAGUUUGAACUUUUUUUAGAAA
rnacentral:tRNA from 1 species